rnacentral:rRNA from 1 species
GAAUAUUGGUCAAUGGGCGCAAGCCUGAACCAGCCAUGCCGCGUGAAGGAUGAAGGCGUUCUGCGUUGUAAACUUCUUUUAUUAGGGAAGAAACCUGGAUAUUCUUAUUCAGCCGACGGUACCUAAGGAAUAAGCACCGGCUAACUCCGUGCCAGCAGCCGCGGUAAUACGGAGGGUGCAAGCGUUAUCCGGAUUUACUGGGUUUAAAGGGUGUGUAGGCGGACUUUUAAGUCAGCGGUGAAAUCUCCGGGCUCAACCCGGAAACUGCCAUUGAUACUAUUGGUCUUGAAUAUUGUUGAGGUGGGCGGAACGGGUCAUGUAGCGGUGAAAUGCAUAGAUAUGACCCGGAACACCGAUUGCGAAGGCAGCCCACUAAGCAAUGAUUGACGCUGAGGCACGAAAGCGUGGGGAUCAAACAG